rnacentral:rRNA from 1 species
GAUGAACGCUAGCGGCAGGCUUAAUACAUGCAAGUCGUGGGGCAGCAGGGUUGUAGCAAUACAAUCGCUGGCGACCGGCAAACGGGUGCGUAACACGUACGCAACCUUCCCGUUACUGUGGCAUAGCCCAGGGAAACUUGGAUUAAUACCACAUAUUAUAUUGAGGGGGCAUCCCUUGGAUAUCAAAGCUUCGGCGGUAACGGAUGGGCGUGCGGUUGAUUAGGUAGUUGGCGGGGUAACGGCCCACCAAGCCUACGAUCAAUAGCUGAUGUGAGAGCAUGAUCAGCCACACGGGCACUGAGACACGGGCCCGACUCCUACGGGAGGCAGCAGUAAGGAAUAUUGGGCAAUGGACGAAAGUCUGACCCAGCCAUGCCGCGUGAAGGAUUAAGGUCCUCUGGAUUGUAAACUUCUUUUCUCUGGGGCGAAAACCAGCUAUUCUUAGCUAUUUGACAGUACCAGAGGAAUAAGCACCGGCUAACUCCGUGCCAGCCGCCGCCGUAAUAC